UGCGUAGGCGGAUUAAUAAGUCAGUGGUGAAAGCCUCUCGCUCAACGGGAGAACUGCCAUUGAUACUGUUAGUCUUGAGUAUGGUUGAGGUGGGCGGAAUGUGUCAUGUAGCGGUGAAAUGCUUAGAUAUGACACAGAACACCAAUUGCGAAGGCAGCUCGCUAAGCCAUAACUGACGCCGAGGCACGAAAGCGUGGGGAGCAAACAGGAUUAGAUACCCUGGUAGUCC
rnacentral:rRNA from 1 species